UACGGGGGGGGCAAGCGUUGUUCGGAAUUACUGGGCGUAAAGGGCGCGUAGGCGGCCUUCUAAGUCGGACGUGAAAUCCCUCGGCUUAACCGGGGAACUGCGUCUGAUACUGGAUGGCUUGAGUUCGGGAGAGGGAUGCGGAAUUCCAGGUGUAGCGGUGAAAUGCGUAGAUAUCUGGAGGAACACCGGUGGCGAAGGCGGGUCUCUGGGCAUUUCCUGACGCUGAGGCGCGAAAGCGUGGGGAGCAAACGGG
rnacentral:rRNA from 1 species